UUCUGUAUGCACCUUUGAACUGAAGGACAUUUGGAUUAUCAUUAUGCCCUCCAUUCAUUCUUAUCAUGCCGAAGAACAGUUCCAAAUGAUCUUGGCUCAAACGUGAUUACGGAUAAGCUUAAUCAUGUGGCAUGGAUCUAGAAAUACCGCCACUUCGUGAUCUGAUGAAGGGUGCUUAAAGGUGGUUUUCAUAUUUUUUGGAUCUUUCACCCGACAACCUAACAAUUCCAUCGCUGAAAUAUUGGUGGGGUGACCAUCAAAGGUAAGAGAUACAACUUUAAUUCCAGCAUCAUGGCAUUUAGCUAAACAUAUGUUUAUUAAAUUUUUUUUAUGUUUUCCCUCCAAACUGUGAAUUAGGAAAUAUCCCAAAGGGAUUUUCCAACGCUCAUUCAGGCAAACAAGCAUAAAAACAUAAGCCUGUGAGGCUUUUAUACCACUUGUUGUGCCUGUGCCAACAUCUACAUUUCCCAGACCUCCUUUAAUAUUUUGAGGUCUUAUCGCCAUUUCAUCGGCAAUCAGUCCACAUAUUAACGUUUUGUCCGAGCUUUGGGACUUUGAUUUUAAAAGUUUAAAGGAUUCAUUUGUAAAACCCGGUGAUCCAUCGAUGCUGCAAUACCAAUUAUACAACGUUUUUGGGUGUGGAAGACACGUAUCAAAAGUAUUACGAACGUAUGUAUAUGCUCGAGGACUAUGGUAGUGCAAUGUAAGACAGAAUUUUCUGAACUCAGGUGUGUAUUUUGGCAUAGGACGCUUUUUAUCUUUUUUAAUUUUUUUUACCAUGUUAUUGAAUAAAUCGGCUGCAAAAACAUUUUCAGACAAUAAAUUAGACACAUCAUUACUAAUGAAUCUCUUUUUUUGUAGUUCACUUAAAAUUCCUUUGAGCGAUUUAUUCCUCUUUUGGAGACGCCGGGUCUUUUGUUUUAAAGUUUUUAUAACUUUUCUAUGUUUGAGAUUAAGUAAUGUGCUUUUCUUUAACUUUUUUCGAAGGAGGGCCUUACGAGGAGUGUCGAAUAUAUAGUCGAAUUCGUCGUCUGAUGGGCGCCUCACAUUCCCGCGUGACGUACUCUGUAAAAUAAAAGUUCUUAUAAGUUCAUGCCACAAUAUUUACAAAUUCUGGGUGCAACAAGGAAAUGACCAAUUUAAAAAUCUACAGUUAAAUUUUAAAUACCCAAAUUCAACACUUUUGAUUGGAAUUAUUAACGAUUACUUACAGGCUGCGAUGAACUUUCAGUAACUAAAUUUCUAUUUGAAGCUCCACGAACACCUUCCGUUUUGUCUUCAGCAGCAUUUAAACCCUAAAAAAAGUCAGGUAAGUAAGUUUACUACAUAGACAGUUUACUAAAAUUAAAUAGUUAUUAACAACUUCACUGUCUAAAAAACUACCAAACGUCUUUUUCGUUUCUGUAAGGUAAAAUAGCAUUCACACUAGCACUGUAUUAAAUAAAUAUAUUUCAUAAAAAUAGUUGUUUAUAUUUUAUUUUAUGACUCAAAAAUUGGCGUGGCUAAUGGGCGUGGGGAAAAACAUUUAUUUUCCUAAGAGUCACAUGUGACUCAUUUGACAGUCAAGUUGUUUAUAUUAACCAUUACACUCACCGAUAGCCCAUGAACAGGUGAAAUCUCAUCCACAUUAUCUUCUUCAUCCAAUUGAUCAUCUGUGCCUGUGCAUGAAAUAUGUAAAUCCUGAAAAAAGUAAUUUUAUUAUCAUUUGCUUCAUUUAUUUUUAUCAACAUUGUGUCACAAAAUCCCAAAAUACACAUAAUAAGUACUAAAUAAUGCUUUGAUAAUUAUACCUUAACAGGGACAGCAUUUCGACGCAACCUACACGAUCCACCCUGUGUUAUGUACUUAUCUUCAUUCUUAAAAUGUUUUGAACAUAUUCGUGUAUUUUUGGUUGGCUUCCAAUAUACUUCUCCACGACUAAGCCUUAUAUUUUUCACCCACUUGUCAGCAAUAACAGGGUCGAUGGGAAUCCUUUGAACAACAACACGCAAUACUCCUAUAAGUUGUAAUUUUAACAAGUGUGGAAAUAAAGUUCGUUUACUUCUCAACUUUCAAGUAAUACAAUUUCAGGUAUACGAUAUCGCUAAAUCACACAAACACCUACAUUAAACAACAACAACAGUAAGUAACAGUAGCAACUGUUUUAAAAUUAAUUUGUCGGAGCAAUGAAGUCAGUUAAAAUGGGAAAAUAUUUUAACAAUCGGGCAACACUGUGCAUUGAAUUAAAACUUUUCUGUUUUGUUCUAUUUUGACUUAAUUAACUACAAGAUACUAUGAAAUACUGAAAGCUUACCUGUGAAAAGUGAUGUUAUCACAUUUCUUUUGUUUUUCAGAUGUGUUGUGACACAAUUUAACUGCACAAAUCGUCAUAAUAAUUUUUUUUUCGCGAGACACGUUCGCCGUGCGUUGACAUUGAACACUACGGAGCGGCCCGGCGUUUGGAGCCAUUUAUGGCUCCAAUUAAGGUGCUUCAAAAUUGACGCGCGGACUUGGUUUCUAUGUCUUAUUAUUCUAAGGAAUUAAUAUACUGUGGUUGUGUUAUCCGUUUCUUCGGGCAUUCCAAUUAUGAAAGUGUCACGGAUGUGUCUAGUGUUUGCGAUGCGGUACAUGAAUGGCGAAAGUAAAUGAAGUUGACAAACGUUAAACCUUUCGUAACGAUAUGGAUAUUCAAAUAGAAUUUGAUGGACUUUCAAGAAUUUGAUGGCGUUUUCAGAACAGAACGCUUUCUAGAUGUUGUAAACGCUAUUUAGGCACGUUUUUUUUAUAGAACAGGGGGCAAGCGGGCAGUAGAUUCACCUGAUGUUAAGUUAUAAGAUAUAAACAGUUAUGCGAGAACGAUAUUUAUUUAUUAAAGUACACAACAUCAUAUAGGUUACAAUCUAUAUAUAUUCUAAAAUCAGUAAUUCGGUGACUAUGAAUUUUACAAAAAUAUAAAAAUUACACUUCCAAUUUUUUAGAGAUCAGCCUACUACCGAAAAUAUCAUGCGAACGAUAAAGAUAUUGAUGUCGAACUUACUUCAAAUUGCACAGCUUACAUUGAAGAAUGGACGACUGACAUAUUUCGUUAUUAUUUAAAAACUGUAUAGUUAAAAUUGGCACAGGUAUACAUAAUCCACAUAUGUAUAUGGUUAUUAUUACUAUGAUUUAUGUCUUCACACAUCGGCCAGCUCUCAAUACAGAAUGUAGAACAGUCGAUAUGAACUGGCAAGAAACACUACAUUUUCAAUUUAAAUUUGUCAUCAAAGUGUUGUUUAAAUUGCAGCGCCUUGAAACUGAUCCGAUCAUAAUUAAAGCGAAAAUUGUUUGGGUUUAGUAUUGUACAAUGCGUGCCAUUAAUUAAUCCAAUAUGGCGAUAGAACAUUUUCCUUAUUGUAAGAGAAAAUUUAUGUAUGUAUUGAUAAAAUAAUGUUGGUAAUAUUUGUACAGGUUUUUGCAUAUUAAUUCAUAAAACAGUUUGUCACUUUCAUCUCGGCGUAAGUAUAGUUUGUUAAAAAAAGACGAAAGCGUACUAUAACUGCAGGCUGACUAAUUUUUUAAGUAUAAGCUAUAAAUAAAGAUCCAAGAUUUUUGAUAAUUGAUUGUCUAAUAACGCACGUAUUGUUGAUAUAAGCAUGUAAUUGUAUGAAUAAAAACACAUUGAAACUGAA